UGCAAGGAGAGAGAGACAGGGUGGAAUGUUCUUCGUCUCCUUGUUGUUUGUUACAGAACCAGAAGCAACCUCAAUGUCCAUCAGCACAGUUACAGGAAGCAACGCAGCCUCAUGAUUAAGCCUGUGAACUCUGCCUUCGAACACACCCGUAUGGAAUCCCUGCUCUCACUGAACAGCUCUGGGGCUUCUGUGAACUCUGGAAGCAACCAAAAUAGGGGAAGAACCAAUCUGGAGAGGAUAGCCUUCUGUGUGGACCCAGGGGCUUUGGAGACAAAGCUGCUUUGCGCCCUCAUAACUGCCUGGCCCCAGAGAACCCAUGGAGGACCACCAGGCUUACAGUCACCCAUCGUCGCUCUGGGAAACACCAGCGACUGUCUCUGCCUUACUAGCCUCUUUCCAGACGAAGCUGACAAGAGUGGAAAAACCAACCAACCAACUCUAUCUCUGCCUGGCGGCCUGGGAAUCACCCAAGGCAGUUGACUUGCUCAGUUGGCCACUUUGUGUUCACUGAUGGCAUGAGGAAGGUCUAGCAUGCAGAGACGUAUUUCUACUCCCCGUGCGGACCCCCUUUUAAGAAGGCUUCAAAAGGGACAUGCAGAGGAUGCUUAAAACCCACCCUCAUCAUUCUUACCAUUCUGCAAAGCGCAUGCCCUGCGUCUGCGGCUUGGGCAUGCCUCCCCUCCCCUGGAUGAUGAAUUCACGAGGGACCUCAUGGGCUGCUGAGAACAAGCACGCUUUUGAAUGAACUCUUUUACGGGUAUCAGUCCAAAAGUCACCAUCAGCUGCAACUGAAAAGCAGAGUGGGUUUUGUUUUUGUUUUUGUUUUGUUUUUGUUUUUGUUUUUCCCCCAGUGGCGGCCAGUUCGGCUCAAAAGCUCAGUUCUUGGAAGGGCCACUUCUUCUUGCCACUGGAGAAGACACACCUCCCUGUGCACCUAAAAAUAAAAAGUAAAUAAAUAAAUGAGUUUGUAAAUUUUUAACGAGGUCCCUCCGGCCCCUCCUGCAGGCCAUAAUUCCCUUUCAGUUUCAGAGAGUGUGUUUCGUGUCUCCACGUGCACAGCUCUGCCUUCCAAGUGGCCCUUCUGGGCUCCGCAGUUUGAGGAACUUGGGUCCCUCAAGGCUCUUUGAGACCCCAGAGCCUUCUCCUGAGCUCAUCUGAGGAGUCUCUGCUCUUUUUCACAGGAGUUCAGCGGGAGGCGUGGAAAUUAGUAUUGUCUGUAAACGCACCAGGAAUGAGCUCUCAACUAAAAAACAAAACAAAAUACACCACACACACACACACACACACACAAGCAAACCCUCAAAACUCAAAAAUGGGGUUUUAACGCGCUUCUGAGGCUACUACUAGACUUCAAAUCUCCCAAACAAGUCAUUUUCCGAGUCUACUCUGGCUUCAGUUUUCUUGCCUUUUAAAUAACAAAAAAACCAAAGCAAUUUCAUUAAAAGAU